AGUGAACGCUGGCGGUUGGCCUAACACAUGCAAGUCGAACGGCAGCACAGUAAGAGCUUGCUCUUACGGGUGGCGAGUGGCGGACGGGUGAGGAAUACAUCGGAAUCUACUUUUUCGUGGGGGAUAACGUAGGGAAACUUACGCUAAUACCGCAUACGACCUACGGGUGAAAGCAGGGGAUCUUCGGACCUUGCGCGAUUAAAUGAGCCGAUGUCGGAUUAGCUAGUUGGCGGGGUAAAGGCCCACCAAGGCGACGAUCCGUAGCUGGUCUGAGAGGAUGAUCAGCCACACUGGAACUGAGACACGGUCCAGACUCCUACGGGAGGCAGCAGUGGGGAAUAUUGGACAAUGGGCGCAAGCCUGAUCCAGCCAUACCGCGUGGGUGAAGAAGGCCUUCGGGUUGUAAAGCCCUUUUGUUGGGAAAGAAAAGCAGCAGGUUAAUACCCCGCUGUUCUGACGGUACCCAAAGAAUAAGCACCGGCUAACUUCGUG
rnacentral:rRNA from 1 species